rnacentral:rRNA from 1 species
GAUGAACGCUGACAGAAUGCUUAACACAUGCAAGUCGAUGGGGAAGUGGUGCUUGCACCAUGGUAACCAUGGCGGACGGGUGGGUAACGCGUAAGGAACUUACCUGCGGGACCGGGAUAACAGCAGGAAACUGCUGACAAGACCGGAUAAGGUCAUUAAGCUGCAUAGCUUAGUGAUGAAAGGAGACGCCUGCGGAGAGCCUUGCGUCCUAUUAGCUAGUUGGAGGGGUAACGGCCCACCAAGGCGAAGAUAGGUAGCCGGCCUGAGAGGGUGGACGGCCACAAGGGGACUGAGAUACGGCCCUUACUCCUACGGGAGGCAGCAGUGGGGAAUAUUGGACAAUGGGGGCAACCCUGAUCCAGCAAUUCUGUGUGCACGAAGACGGUUUUCGGAUUGUAAAGUGCUUUCAGCAGGGAAGAAGGAGGUGACGGUACCUGCAGAAGAAGCGACGGCUAAAUACGUG